UCUGUCAGAAUUUUUUUCAUUUGGCAAGUUUUUUUCUCUCUCUUCUCUCCCCCUCUCUCUCUCUCUCGUACGCUCUUCUCUCCCUCCUCUCUGCCUCAUCUCAUCCAUCACCGUAACAUCCACCACAACCCACACCACCACCUACAAAUCAAUCACUCGUCAGAGGGAGGGAGUGGCCGAGUGUGAGAAUAUUUUCUGGGGAGGGAAGUUCCGGUGAGGAAGAGAGAGUUCCGGCCGUGAUAGAGAGUUCCGGUGGCGUUUCAUGGCGGUGUUUGGCGACGGCUCCAUGGAAGAAUAAUGCUCCUUCAGACCUCCACCUUCCUCCAAGCCAGCCAAAUCUGGUGGUGACAAGCAGAAGAAGGUUCGUUUUUCUCUUCAAAGUUUUUUUUUAAUUUUUUUUUUUGCAGCUUUUGUUUCAUCGUAUGUGUAAUUAAUAGUGAAUUUCAGAGCUUAGAUUCAUUUUUUGUAGACUCAAAUCCAGGUAUAAGUUGUUAUUGCAAACUGAUCAUGCCACAACAACAUCAAAGGAUGACAGAACCUGCCUCUAAUGUGGCAUCUUGCAGUGGAACUGCAAUGGAGAAGUCAUCAAAAGGAUAUUUUAGGAACAUUCAUACAAGUCAUCAGUUUUUACUUUAUCAUUUUAAGAAAAUAUUUAUAUUCUGGAUUCAGUCUAUUAUGCUUCCUAGGAUUUCAGCGUCUAAUUUCGACGUAAAACGUUGUACAGAUAACACUUGCAAUGGCUUCUUUCUAUUGUGAUUAUUUCUCUCCAAAUACGGCUUACAAACCAAAGAUGUGGACAGAAGCUUGGACUGGCUGGUUUGCCGAGUUUGGAGGUCCGGUGCCUCACCGACCUGCUGAAGACUUGGCAUUUUCAAUUGCAAGAUUUAUGCAAAAGGGGGAUCAUUUAUCAAUUACUACAUGGUAACUUCAUUAUUUAUUGAAUUUAAUGUGUAACUUUGUAGGGUUCACCGUAUUUAAAUAUUGAACUUGGCCAUUCAUUUUGUUUAUUUCAAUAUCAUGGUGGAACAAAUUUUGGGAGAACUGUCGGUGGUCCUUUCAUUGCUUCAAGCUAUGACUAUGAUGCACCUCUUGAUGAAUAUGGAUUGCUUAGGCAACCGUAAUGGGGUCAUCUGAAGGAUUUACACAGAGCAAUAAAACUCUCCGAACCGGCUUUAGUUUCUGCAGAUCCAACCGUUACACGGAUUGGAAACUAUCAAGAGGUAUGCAUGACUUGUUUGGAUGUCAAUAAACUCAAAGUGGGCAGCAGAUAUGGCUAUAGGACUUGGUACCGGAGUUCCGUGGAUGUCAAUAAACUCAUCUCUCUUUCAAACUGUUUUUCGUUUUUUAUUUAUUUUAAUUUUUGCAGAAAGCAUUCUAAUGAUAAAAUUGAAUAGUUUUGAUUUUUAACGAUUUAUGUUUUGUGGUGUUUGUUUGUUUGUUUGUGUUGGACAUAGAUAGUUGAAGUUUCAACUUCCAAAACUGGAAAACAUGGAUAUGUUAAGUGACACUGACAUCUUCACUGGCUUGUGAUGUAUUCAAGAGUAUUAAUGUGAUGAAUCUUUUGAAUUCAGAUUGCUCUUCUUUCUCGCUUUCUUUUGGCAUACCUGGCGACGUGAAUGGGUGAACAGGGAGCACACACAACAACAGCGGCAGCCUCCGACGUAGAGCACAAAACGAAGGGAUAAUGACGACUCUGCAAUAGAAUCUGACAUCAAAGGUACCCCUUUCUGUUCAAAAAUAUUGAACUCAAUAGCUAGAGUAUUACUCUUUUGACUAACCAUUAUUCACUUUUAGAAUUUUCACCUUAAGUCGCAACGCAGAGCACAAAACGAAGGGAUAAUGACGACUCUGCAAUUUCUGUUCAAAAAUAUUGAACUCAAUAGCUAGAGUACUCCUCUUUUGACUAACCAUUAUUCACUUUUAGAAUUUUCACCUUAAGUCAUACACUAUUAAAAAUUAUAAUUCAUAAAUUUUCGUCUCUGAUUUAUAAAUGGUGGGUUUGACUAUAAUUGUUGUGAAGGAAAUUUCCUAAUUUUUAAGAUUUUAUUGUUGUCAUGUGCAUCAUAAAAGUAUUGAAAUUAUUCAUUUGUGUGGUUUUGUUUACAUUUUAGUGACUAAGGAAUAAUGAAUUAGGAUUUAUAUAAAAGUGCUUACAUAUCAUUACCAGAAUUUCACUCAUUCUAUUUUUAGCUGUGCAUUUGACAGCAUGUUGAAGCCAUUUGUGACAAUUUUUGCAUAACUAAUACAUGUGCAGUGCAGAUGGGAUAAAUGCAAUUGUAUCAUGAAAGCAUGCUCACAAAAAUGUGUUAACCAAUAGUGUGCAACUAUUUGGUUGCCAUACUUUUCUUUCUUUCCCAGAAAAGUUACAAGCCUCCUAAAAGACCCUUGACAAACAAGGUUCUCAAAAUCAUAGUUUCCAGCUUGCUUUAAUGUGAGAGAUUUGUAGUAGAUAGUAUUUUUGGGAGUUGCUAGAUGGAUUUCAAGAUGAUUCCUAUGAAGUUAGUAACUUAAGAGUUUGAAGAAAAAUUUGUAAAAUCUAAGGAAAGAGUUUCUUUUGUGGUGUUCUUGCAUGUUAUAAGGAAGAUUGACAUGUUAUAACUUAUAACUUAUGAUUCCUAUCUCUAUCAUUUUGUUUUCCA